UGUAGUCAUAUGCUUGUCUCAAAGAUUAAGCCAUGCAUGUCUAAGUAUAAGCAAUUAUACAGUGAAACUGCGAAUGGCUCAUUAAAUCAGUUAUCGUUUAUUUGAUAGUACCUUACUACUUGGAUAUCCGUGGUAAUUCUAGAGCUAAUACAUGCUUAAAAUCCCGACCUCUGGAAGGGAUGUAUUUAUUAGAUAAAAAAUCAAUGUCUUCGGACUCUUUGAUGAUUCAUAAUAACUUUUCGAAUCGCAUGGCCUUGUGCUGGCGAUGGUUCAUUCAAAUUUCUGCCCUAUCAACUUUCGAUGGUAGGAUAGUGGCCUACCAUGGUUUCAACGGGUAACGGGGAAUAAGGGUUCGAUUCCGGAGAGGGAGCCUGAGAAACGGCUACCACAUCCAAGGAAGGCAGCAGGCGCGCAAAUUACCCAAUCCCGACACGGGGAGGUAGUGACAAUAAAUAACGAUACAGGGCCCUUAUGGGUCUUGUAAUUGGAAUGAGUACAAUGUAAAUACCUUAACGAGGAACAAUUGGAGGGCAAGUCUGGUGCCAGCAGCCGCGGUAAUUCCAGCUCCAAAAGCGUAUAUUAAAAUUGUUGCAGUUAAAAAGCUCGUAGUUGAACCUUGGGCUUGGUUAGCCGGUCCGCCUUUUGGUGAGUACUGGAUCUAACCGAGCCUUUCCUUCUGGGUAACCUUUCUUUCGGGGAAGGCGAACCAGGACUUUUACUUUGAAAAAAUUAGAGUGUUCAAAGCACGCCUUUGCUCGAAUAUAUUAGCAUGGAAAUAAUAGAAUAGGACGUUAUGGUUCUAUUUUGUUGGUUUCUAGGACCAUCGUAAUGAUUAAUAGGGACGGACGGGGGUAUCAGUAUUCAGUUGUCAGAGGUGAAAUUCUUGGAUUUACUGAAGACUAACUACUGCGAAAGCAUUUACCAAGCAUGCUUUCAUAUCAGACGAAGUAGGGAUCGAGAUGAUCAGAUACCGUCGUAGUCUAACCAUAAACUA
rnacentral:rRNA from 1 species